rnacentral:rRNA from 1 species
AUGGACGAGGCUGCCCACGUCGCCGGCGACUCCCUGGAGACCGACAGGGCCUCCUCCUCUGUGUCCUCGACCAACUUGGUCUCCCGGCGCUCCUGGCCACGAAAGGGGAUUCACCUACUGUGGCAUCGGCGACUAUUGUCUGCUCGAAGAGGAGAGGAUGGCGAAGGCGACGGCAAGGGCGCCGGUGACGACGUGCAGGACCUCGCACUACCGCUGGGGAUGUCCUUCGCGGCGGUUCUCACCCAGUCAGAGGCUCAACAUCAGGGGCCGCGUCUACCUGGCGAUCCUCCCAGUCGACGGCAACAAAGUCCCUGGAAAGGUUUGGAAGGGGAUCACUGA